rnacentral:rRNA from 1 species
GAUGAACGCUGGCGGCGUGCUUAACACAUGCAAGUCGAACGAUGAAGCCCAGCUUGCUGGGUGGAUUAGUGGCGAACGGGUGAGUAACACGUGAGUAACCUGCCCUUGACUCUGGGAUAAGCCUGGGAAACUGGGUCUAAUACUGGAUAUGACUUCUCAUCGCAUGGUGGGGGGUGGAAAGAUUUAUUGGUCUUGGAUGGACUCGCGGCCUAUCAGCUUGUUGGUGAGGUAAUGGCUCACCAAGGCGACGACGGGUAGCCGGCCUGAGAGGGUGACCGGCCACACUGGGACUGCGACACGGCCCAGACUCCUACGGGAGGCAGCAGUGGGGAAUAUUGCACAAUGGGCGCAAGCCUGAUGCAGCGACGCCGCGUGAGGGAUGACGGCCUUCGGGUUGUAAACCUCUUUCAGUAGGGAAGAAGCGAGAGUGACGGUACCUGCAGAAGAAGCGCCGGCUAACUACGUG